CACCGGGGCAACUUCGCCUUGCGCUCUGACUAUCCAGGAUGUUGUGAUUUUUAACCUGGCAGCGACCUUUGGAUUUCUGUGAGGAAAAUAAAAUCAGCCCCCGGCCUCAGGCCGAGGGCUUGCAGACUCGGGCGAGCUCACGGGCUCUGAGUUUCUCUGAAGAGGAACCCCAUAUUUCAAAAAGCAUGGCCCAGUGCUCCCAUGAUGACUUCCACCAUGUCAUGAUGCAGCCAAAAGGCCCUUGCAAGAAUCAAGAAGAUGCUCUUGAAUCUCCAGAAUUUUAAUCUCUUUCCUUAAGACAGCAGCCAGCCUCAGGUAUUCUGCUGUAGCAACACCAAAUGGAAUAAGACAUACCAGGUGUGGGGAUGUAGCUCUGGGGUAGAGCUCUUGCCUAGCAUGCAUAAAGCCGUGGGUUCAACUCCCAGCACCACAAAAAGAAGUAAAAAUAAUUUUAAAAAUAAAGUAUUUCUCAAAAAGAAAAGAUAGAAGAUUCGAAUUAUUAAAAUUAGAAAUGAAAGUGGAGAUGUUACUAUUGAUUCUACAUAAUAGGCUAUCAAAAUAUAUGAAGCAAAAUUGGACAGAAUUGAAAGAAGAGAUAGAGAGUUCUACAAUGCUAGUUGAAAGACUUCAAAUACCCUGCUCUCAAUAAUAGAUAGAACUGCACACAAGAUCAAUGAAGAAAAAAGGGACAUAGCAAAUAUAACAAAUCAGAUCUAACAGAAAUAUACAGAACACUACCCAACAGUAACAGAAUACAUAUCCUUUUCAAGUAUUCAUGGGACAUCCUCCAUGUUAGAUCAUAUAUUAGGCCACAAAUAAAGAUUCAGUGUAUUUUAAAAGAGAUAUCUCCCCUGACCACAAAAAGAUGAAGUCAGAUUGUCAACAGCAAAAUGAAAAAAAAAAUGGACAACUCACAAAUUUGUGGAAAUGAAAGAGCACACUCUUAAACAUUCAAUAUAUUAAAGAAGAAAUCAUAAAGGAAGUUAUAAAAUACUUAGAGAUGAAAAUACAAUAUGCCCAAACUAUGGAAUAUAGCAAAAGCAGUGCAAAUAGGGAAAUUUAUAGGAAUAAAGCUUACAUUAAAAAGAGGCACAAUCUCAAAUUUAUAAAAUCAAACUUUACAACUUAGGAAACUAAUAAGAUAAGUACAAACUAAACCUAAAACUAGAAGAUGGAAGAAAACAAUAAGAUUAGAACAGAGAUAACUAGAGAAUGGAAAAAUGAUAGAAAAUAGCAACAGAACCAAAAGUUGAAUGUUCAAAGAGCUUUUAAAACUUGACAAAACUUGACACUUAAGCUAGAUUAAUUUUUAAAAAAGAUAGGGCUGGGGAUGUAGCUCUGGGGUAGAGCUCUUGCCCAGCAUGCACAAGGCCCUGGGUUCAAUUCCCAAUACCACAAAAAGAAGUAAAAAUAAUUUAAAAAAUAAAGUAUAUUUCUCAAGAAGAAAAGAUAGAAGAUUCAAAUUAUUAAAAUUAGAAAUGAAAGUGAAUAUAUUAUUAUUGAUUCUACAGAAAUAAAAACAUGACAAUAGAGCACUAUGAACACCUGUAUCCUAACAAAUUGGAUAACUUAGACAUAUGGACAAAUUCCUAGAAACAGGAAACUUACCAAGACUGAGUCAUGAAAAAAUAGAAAAUCUGAGUAGACCAAUAAGUAGUAAAGAGAGUGAAUAAAAAAAACAUAUACCCCCACCCAAAAAAAUCACUGAACCUGAAAAUUUAACCAAUGAAUUCUACCAUUUAAAGAAUUAACACCAAUAUUUCUUCAAAUUUUUCAAAAAAUUGUAAAAAUGGGAAACACUUCUUAACUCAUACCAUGAGGCUAGCAUUGCCCUGAUACCAAACACCAAAACCACUACAAGAAAACUACCAACCAAUAUCCCUUAUGAACAAUAAUGCAAAAAACUAGGAAACCAAAUUCCACCCUGUCUAGAUGGAAUUUACUUCUUAAAUGCAAGCAUUUCUGACAUGAAAAUUUAUCAAUGUAAUACACUAGUAUCAACAGAAUAAAGGGACAAAAACAUCAACUCAUGAUGCUCAUAAAACAUUUGACAAAAUUCAAUAUCAAUUUAUGAUUUUAAAAACAUGGAAUAAAUUAAGAAUAGAGGAAAUUAUCUCAACAUAAGCCAAUUAUGAAAAUUCACAGCUGAAAUCAUACUCAAUGAAAUACUUAGAGCCUUUUGAUCAGUAACAAGGAUGCUCCCUUUCUCUAUUUCAACACAGAACUAUAAGUUCUAGUCACAGCAAGUAGGAAAAAAAAAUGAAAGUAAAAAGAAAUAUAAAGGCACUAAAACUGGAAAGGCAAAAAUAAAACUGUUUGCAAAUGAUAUUUUCUUAUAUGGAGAAAAUGCUAAAGCACCACACACACACACACACAAACGUUAGAACUAACAAAUUCAGCAAAGUAUCAGGAUAAAAAAAAAUCAAUGCAGAAAAAUGGGUGCUGCUACUCUACACUGAUAAUAAAAAAUCCAAAAAGAAAAUUAUGGAAACCGUUUCAUUUAUAAUAGCAUCAAAAAUAUGAUAUUUAGGAAGUAAGCUGGAAUUCUUUCAGUCUUAAAAAGAAGAGAUUCUGGGCUGGGGCUCAGUGGUAGUGCACUUGCCUGGGGCAUGUGUGAGGCAAUGGAUUAGAUUCUCAGCACCACUUAUAAAUAAAUAAAGUUCUAUCAACAACUUAAAAAAUAUUAAGGGGCUGAGAUUGUGGCUCAGCGGUAGAGUGCUCGCCUAGCAGUGGUGGGGCCCGGGUUCAAUCCUCAGCACCAAUAAAAAUAAUGUGUUAUGUCCACCUACACCUAAAAAAAUAAAUGUUUUUUAAAAGGAAUUUAUUUUAAAAAAGAAGAAAUUCUGACACAUGUGACAGCACUGAUGAACCUUGAAGACAUUAUACCAAGGGAAAUAAGCUAGCCACAAAAACAAAUGCUUAUGAUCCCACUUAUAUGAGGUAUUGAGAGUGGUCAAAUUCACAUAAAGAGGAAGUAUAAUGAUGGUUUCCAGGACCUGGGAUGGGGAGGAAGUGGUGAAGGCGCUCCCCCUCCCACUGUCUUGACAGGGUCACAGUGAGGAUGAAUGCUGGCAAAGCCACUCUCCCACUGUCUUGACAAGGUCACAGUGAGGAUGAAUGCUGGCAAACCGAAAUCAUGAGACCCUUUUUUAUGUAAUUGGGACUUUUCAUUUUCAUGCUCAUGUUCCUGACAGGAGGCAUGAGUAUGUUAAAUGCUAAACCAAAUUAAAUUUCAGAUGGCUAGAACAUAACAGGUAGUUCAUGACUUGAAGGCUGUUCUACUACCCCUCAAUAUGACAAGGACAAAAUAGAAGGCUGCUCCUCUAUCUCAGUACACUGAGGACAAAACUGAUAAUGGACAACAAUCAUUCUCUGAAAGGUCACGAGAAUUUUAAGCACCACAUUGAUUAUAUCAACUAAGAAUCCAAGCCCAUAUUUCCGGCCUCUUAGAAAGCCUAAUCAUUAGGCUUAUUGCACAAAACCCACCAUAUGUAGUUUUAUUUUUGAUUAAGGAAAAGUUAUGUUAUACACUUAGGAAAGUUAAGGCAUAUGAAGGUAUAUUCUCCUCUUUUCUAUAAAUCCUCUUUUACUUCACAUAGGGACUUAUGAUGAGCAUAGUUAAUGUUGGCGGUAAAUGGACUGAUGUUUAGAACUUGCCUUUUACUGAGAGAGAUUACAAAGAUAUAAGAACAAGUGCACCUUGGGGCUGGGAUUGUGGCUCAGCGGUAGAGCGCUUGCCUAGCAUGGGAGGGACCCAGGUUUGAUCCUCAGCACCACAUAAAAAUAAAGGCAUUAUGUUGUGUCCAUCUACACCUAAAAAAUAAAUAUUUUAAAAAAAGAACUAGUGCACCUUGACUAAGAAACAAAAAAAACUCUUUGAGAAAGCAGUUCAACCAGUUUUAUGAGAAUAAAUGUAGGAAUUAAUUAAAGCAACUUUGUAAGACAUAUUUUUAGAAUAAUGAUAGAAAUAUUAUUUUGUUUAGAUUCUUGGGUUUAGAAUUCUUAAGUUUUUAGCUGUAUGGCUUUCUGAUAUGCUUUAAGAAUGGUUUAUAGAAUUUAAGAAUGGUUUGUAGACUUUAGGAUAUUUUAAGUAUAAGAUUUAAGGGGAUUUCUUUAGAUGGGAAUUUUAGAUUAAGAAUAAGGUGCAAGUAUACUUUAAACUUAAAGGUUAAUGAUAGGUGAGGAGACUUAGAGUCUGGUUAUGUAGUUUGGCAUUAGCUAAUAAGAAAAUAGCAUAUCUUGGGAAAAAUAGUACAUCUUCGGAAAAAUCUGAAAAUGUAAAUUAGUGAUGCAUUUUAUUAACGAUUCUGUACACUUAAUAAAUGAUAACUAAAUGCCACAUCCUGGAAAAAUGUAAAUUGAUGUUACAUUUUUCUAUAUCCCUAGUGAUGGUUAAGAAAAUGUCACAUCUUGGCAAAGUUUUUGAAAUUGUAUAAUCAAUGAUGUAUUCUGAAUCCAUAAUGAUGAGAAAAAUUGCAAUAAAAGAUGACCCAGAGAAAGCUGUAUUAGAUUUCUCUCUCUGGAGAUUGCUCCAGUGGAACAACCCCUGUUUCCUCCUUUUCAUUGAUGCCACUCAUCCUUCAGGACUCCCUGGACCCCACAAGGGUAUAACCCUGGCAAGGAAGGACAAUGGUAGCUAUUAUUUAGUUGGUAUAGAUUUCAGUUUUGCAAAAUGAAAAAGAAUUCUGGAAAUGGAUGCUAGUAAUGGAUGUAAAACAAUAUAAAUAUACUUAAUACCACUGAACUGUACACUUAAAAUGAUUAAGGUGCCAAAUUUUUUUGCUAUGUACUUUAAAACUUCUAAUAAAUCAAAAAAAAUUGUGGUGUACUCAUCCAACAGUGCUCUGCUCAGCAGUAAAAGGAAUGAACUAGACAUAGCCACAACCCAGAGAUUCUCAAAAUAAUUAUGCUUUCACAUACAGUCAUUCUCUCCUGUUGAAAUCUAAAACAACUUAGUCAACAUAAUUGUUAAAAAAAAAAAAAAAGAUAACUGUGCUCAGUAUAAAAUAAAUCAGACUAAAAAAGAGUAUAAUAUUUUAUGGUUUUAAUUAUAUGCAAUUCGAGAAAAGUUAACAAAUCUAUAGUGGAAAAAAAAAGGUAAAUCAAUAGCUUUCCUAGGACUGCAGGAAGGGAUAAUAAAGGGGUAUGAGGUAGCUCUAUGGGUGAUGGAUAUGUAUGGGAGGCCAUCCUCACACGUGAUUUGAGUUACCUCCCUGGCUGGUGUCCAGAGCUUUCCCCACCCUCCUCAGGUCCGAGGGCUUGUCCGUGUGGAGAUGUGUCUGGCCACUACCCCGAAGACCCAAUUGUCACCCCUGACCUUGGGACACUGCCCCCCUUAAUCUUCAUUGGAUGGGAUUUUCCCCAGAAUUUUUUGUUCCCCAAUAAAAGUCCACUCCCUGGCGUAUUCUCUCUCUCUCCCUAGCCUCUUCAGUAAACCUCGCUACCAAAUAGGUGGCUGGAGGCUGGAGCUAGGAGGAGCCGUCCUGGAGCUGGUUUAAAGGUAAUUAGAGUCUUGUCUCUUUAAUUCAAAACUCCUUAGAGAUUUCUCACGUUUUGAACCUUCAUUCAUGAAGCUGGUGCUGGUCACGGGCUAAAGAUAUCUUUAAUAUCAUAAUUACGAUAAUGUAUUUAUCAUAAUUAUGAUAUUAAAUAUCAUAAUAUCAUAUGAUACAUAUGAGUAAUGUAUUUCAAAAUUUAUCAAAUGUGUGCAGGUAUAGUCAAUUAUUGUGUGACAAUUAUAUUUUAACAAGACAUUAAAAGAAUUUGUUGCACAUAAAAAUCUGACCACCCAUUUUAGAAAACUAGUAGAUUUAGUAACCUUUAUAUUAACUCUGCCAUCUCUCUCCUCAUGCCUUGGCAAGCAAAGAAUGUGACAUCCAUGGAGAACAGGAUCCUUUCUCUUAGUAGAAAGGCCAGCAAUGGCCUUGAGAUGCAUUGUGCAUACAGCCUACAGUAUGUUUAGAUUAUUUGCUCUCGCAGCAAAUUUAUUUGUAGGACAGACAUGGUAAGAUUCUGAGAAUUUCAGCAAAUCCUGAAUUCUGCACAGCCACAUUCAAAGGAAGCUUGUGGAUGCACUUUUAGUGUAGAUCCAUUCCUGCUGGUUUGUGAUAAUCUCACCUAUGCCCUAUAAUCAUGCUCUAUGUUUCUGUACAAAUUAUGGGUCCACCUGGGCUUGGAACAUCUUGGUAAAAAGAGACAUCUGUUAGAAGAUGCUGAACCUCAGGUACCAGUUAAAUAGCAACUGCUUAAUACUGCUAGGGGAAAAGGGAUACAUUAGCUCCUGAAAGCUUCCACCUUAUCUAGCAUCCAUAGGAAAUCUCCCCUGUGCAGAUUUUUGGGUGAACAAGGUUCAACAUCUGUCUGACACCUCCUCAUAUAGCCUACUCUCAGAGCUUCUCUCUGGUGUGUUGUUGUGUUGAACAAAAAGGGACACAUCCUCUAAGUAUGAACUGCUCCUAGAUGUCUUAUAGGUUGUCACAACUGCCCCCUCCUUAGGAUAACAUGGUCAUAUUAUGAAAAUUCAUAGCAUUCAGACUGCAAAAAUGGGCUCACCAAGCCACAUGAUCUUUCCUUAAAACCCCUGGGGGGCAAUGCACAAGGCCAGAUCUGGGCUGAGUUGUUCUUUACCAUCAAACUGUCCCUUCUGAGGCAGUAAAUUUGGAGGCACACACAACACUUCUUUAAUUUAGUAGACAUUUGCUCUGUUCUCAUUCCACUCCUAACAGUGAUCAGAACACAGAGAUUAAAGGUGGCUUUAUCAAUAAAGCCCUUGUUAUCACACAAAACAGCAAUGUGCAGUAGGUAUUUGGGCCAG